GGGGGUAUAGCUCACUGGUAGAGCAUUCGACUGCAGAUCGAGAAACACACGGUUCAAACUCGGGUGCCCUUU